UACGAAGGGAGCUAGCGUUGUUCGGAAUCACUGGGCGUAAAGCGCACGUAGGCGGAUGUGUCAGUCAGGGGUGAAAUCCCGGAGCUCAACUUCGGAACUGCCCUUGAUACUGGCGGUCUCGAGUCCGGGAGAGGUGAGUGGAACUGCGAGUGUAGAGGUGAAAUUCGUAGAUAUUCGCAAGAACACCAGUGGCGAAGGCGGCUCACUGGCCCGGUACUGACGCUGAGGCACGAAAGCGUGGGGAGCAAACAGG
rnacentral:rRNA from 1 species